CUGAGUCAGCGGUCGGCACUCGGCACCAAGGAACUUGGAAGUCUGUCCCACUGCGGUAACACUAGAGAAAAGAUGUUCAACGAGUGCAGUGGCAUUUUUCGUAUAUCAGAUAUGAUUAGUCAUCGGCCACAAGUCUGUCGUAGAAGGAGACACAUUACGGAUGAACUUCAACGUAAUUUCCAAGACUGAAUAAUGAUUUAACGUCAAGAUAAUGUGUUCAGCGUACGAUAUUGGUUUCUUUGUGAGGAUAUUUCUCGUUUAGAACCGAAUAAAUUUUGCAUAUUACCUGCUUUUCGAUGAUUUUCUAAGUCAGCCAAGAGCACUGUGACAUUUAAAAGAAAAUUGAUAUCUGUCAAACGAAUUUUUAUUCACCAGACAAUUCCAUAAAAUUGGGGAGGCGUUGAUAAAUACUGUUCAGUCCAUAUUCGUGUUAAGCCCGAAAGAUAAAUCACGAAAAAACUAUAAAUGUAAAAGGGCAUUAAGCAAGUAUACAAGAUCUCCAGCGUCCGAGAACAGAAGAUCAUGAGAGGAUUUACUUUUUACCUCAUAAAUAAAAAACAUUAUUUGAUUAGCAAGUGCAGUUUCGCGCGUUUCUGAGUUUUAUUUGGGAGUGUUUAGGGGGAGUGUCAAGAUAGUACCGUCGAGUGCGUUUCGUCAAGUAGUGAUAUAUUGCGCAGAAGUCCUGCUGCAAAUCAUCUUAAAUUUGGUGGGCGUUGUAUUAGUGCUUCAUAAAGAGUUUUUGUCGUCUUGGGACAGUUUCCCAAGAUGACGCUUCGACAUCAAAUUCUUCGCUGCGCCAAGGGUGGUAAGUGUUACAUUAUGCUUUAUUGAUAUAUUAUUAAAAGUUUUUAUUGUCAGCCUGUUGAUUGAAUACUUUUUACUCUUUAAGUGGUUGCGGGUAGAGGCAUGAUUUUGUAAUUAUUGGUUCACCUGAUAUUACAUUUCUUGGUAUGAAAUCCCUGGUGCAAAAAUGUCUUGGGUAGCGUUGAUCCUAACAUGCGAAAUCAGAAAUGUUUGGUUUGAGACAGAUUACUUGUCCCUAUAUUUGCCCUGUUCUUUCUUGCUUAUCUCCGUAACUCCGUCGUCGGUGGUUGUAAACUUUUGUCAAGAUCUUUAACUAGAUCUUGGCGUCUACAAAGGUUUCU